rnacentral:tRNA from 1 species
GCUAUAGUUCAGUGGUAGAUCAUUUGACUGCAGAUCAAGAGGUCCCAGGUUCAAAUCCCCCUCAAACA